rnacentral:rRNA from 1 species
AACGAACGCUGGCGGCAGGCCUACCACAUGCAAGUCGAACGCUGUAGCAAUACAGAGUGGCAGACGGGUGAGUAACGCGUGGGAACGUGCCCUUCGGUUCGGGAUAACUCAGGGAAACUUGAGCUAAUACCGGAUACGCCCUUUGGGGGAAAGAUUUAUUGCCGAAGGAUCGGCCCGCGUCCGAUUAGCUAGUUGGUGAGGUAAAGGCUCACCAAGGCGACGAUCGGUAGCUGGUCCGAGAGGAUGAUCAGCCACACUGGGACUGAGACACGGCCCAGACUCCUACGGGAGGCAGCAGUGGGGAAUAUUGGACAAUGGGCGCAAGCCUGAUCCAGCCAUGCCGCGUGAGUGAUGAAGGCCCUAGGGUUGUAAAGCUCUUUCGCCAGGGACGAUAAUGACGGUACCUGGAUAAGAAGCCCCGGCUAACUUCGUGCCAGCCGCCGCAGUAAAAC